GACGAACGCUGGCGGCGUGCCUAAUACAUGCAAGUAGAACGCUGAAGAGAGGAGCUUGCUCUUCUUGGAUGAGUUGCGAACGGGUGAGUAACGCGUAGGUAACCUGCCUGGUAGCGGGGGAUAACUAUUGGAAACGAUAGCUAAUACCGCAUAAAAUUGAUUAUUGCAUGAUAAUUAAUUGAAAGAUGCAACUGCAUCACUACCAGAUGGACCUGCGUUGUAUUAGCUAGUUGGUGAGGUAACGGCUCACCAAGGCGACGAUACAUAGCCGACCUGAGAGGGUGAUCGGCCACACUGGGACGGAGACACGGCCCAGACUCCUACGGGAGGCAGCAGUAGGGAAUCUUCGGCAAUGGGGGGAACCCUGACCGAGCAACGCCGCGUGAGUGAAGAAGGGUUUCGGAUCGUAAAGCUCUGUUGUAAGAGAAGAACGGGUGUGAGAGUGGAAAGUUCACACUGUGACGGUAUCUUACCAGAAAGGGACGGCUAACUACGUG
rnacentral:rRNA from 1 species